CCUGAACCUAUAGGGGAGGGUCCGGGUGGUCAUCUACUCCCUUGGUGGCGGCUCCGGACUGGGGACCGUCGCUGCAGGCUCCGGACAGGGGACCGUCGCUGCAGGCUCCGGACAGGGGACCGCCGCUGCAGGCUCCGUGUCAUGGAUCGUCGCUGCAGGCUCCGCGCCAUGGAUCAUCCCUGGAGGCUUCGCGCCAUGGAUCAUCCCUGGAGGCUUCGUGCCAUGGAUCAUCCCUGGAGGCUUCGUGCCAUGGAUCUUCACUGGAGGCUCCGUGCCAUGGAUCAUCACUGGAGGCUCUGUGCCAUGGAUCAUCACUGGAGGCUCUGUGCCAUGGAUCAUCACUGGAGGCUCCGUGCCAUGGAUCAUCACUGGAGGCUCCGUGCCAUGGAUCAUCACUGGAGGCUCCGUGCCAUGGAUCAUCACUGGAGGCUUCGGACCAUGGAUCAUCACUGGAGGCUUCGUACGCGGAGCCGGAACAUGUCUCACCGGACUGGGGAGACGCACUGGAGACCGGGUGCGCGGAGCUAGCACAGGAUAUACUGGGCCGUGGAGGCGAACUGGAGGUCUGGACCGUAGGGCAAGCACAACCCGUCUGGGCUGGAUGCUUACUUUAGCCCGGCAAGUGCGGGGCGCAGGCACAGGACGAACUGGGCUGUGAAGGCGCACUGGCGACACAGUGCGUAGAGCUGGCGCAGGAUAUCCUGGACCGAGGAGGCGUAUUGGAGACCAGGAGCGCUGAGCCGGCACCAUCCGUCCUGGCUGAAUGCCCACUCUAGCACGGCAAAUGCGGGGCACAGGCACAGAGCACACCGGGCUAUAAAUGCGCAUUGGAGAUAUAGUCACAUGCUCCCCACGGUAAGCACGGUAGUUGGCUCAGGUCUAAUUCCUGACUCUGCCAAUCUCCCUGUGUGCCCCCCCCAAAAAAUAUUUUGGGGGCUGCCUCUCGGGCGUCCGUUGUUGCCGUGCUUGUUCCUCGUUGUUGCCGUGCUUGUUCCUGCUUGUUCCUCCUCCUUUGCUGCCUCUAUCUCCUCCCUUGGACGGUGAUAAUCCCCGAGCCUUGUCCAGGGUCCUGCUCCCUCCAGGAUUUCCUCCCAGGUCCAGUCCUCCUGACCACGCUGCUUGGUCCGUUGGUGGUGGGAUCUUCUGUUACGUCCGUCGUUCAAUGAAGACCAAGGUGCAGCGUGGUAGGCGUACAUUUUCUUUAAUAUUAAAUGUACCACCAAAAAACAAUAAACAAUACAACAAACGUGAAGCUAGGAGUGCAAAACACAUGCAACACAAAAGACAAGAUCCC
rnacentral:lncRNA from 1 species